rnacentral:rRNA from 1 species
GGGACGAACGCUGGCGGCGUGCUUAACACAUGCAAGUCGAGCGGUAAGGCCUUUCGGGGUACACGAGCGGCGAACGGGUGAGUAACACGUGGGUGAUCUGCCCUGCACUCUGGGAUAAGCCUGGGAAACUGGGUCUAAUACCGGAUAUGACCUGCUCUCGCAUGGGGGUGGGUGGAAAGAUUUAUCGGUGCAGGAUGGGCCCGCGGCCUAUCAGCUUGUUGGUGGGGUAAUGGCCUACCAAGGCGACGACGGGUAGCCGACCUGAGAGGGUGACCGGCCACACUGGGACUGAGACACGGCCCGGACUCCGUACGGGAGGCAGCAGUGGGGAAUAUUGGACAAUGGGCGCAAGCCUGAUCCAGCCAUGCCGCGUGAGUGAUGAAGGCCUUAGGGUUGUAAAGCUCUUUCACGUGGGAAGAUAAUGACGGUACCCACAGAAGAACGCCCCGGACUAACUACGUGCCAGCAGCCGC